UACGGAGGAUGCGAGCGUUAUCCGGAUUUAUUGGGUUUAAAGGGUGCGCAGGCGGCGUGUCAAGUCAGCGGUAAAAUGUCGGGGCUCAACCCCGGCCGGCCGUUGAAACUGGCGUGCUCGAGUUGGAGAGAAGUAUGCGGAAUUCGUGGUGUAGCGGUGAAAUGCAUAGAUAUCACGAAGAACCCCGAUUGCGAAGGCAGCGUACCGGCAUCCAACUGACGCUGAGGCACGAAAGCGUGGGGAUCAAACAGG
rnacentral:rRNA from 1 species